AUUGAACGCUGGCGGCAUGCUUUACACAUGCAAGUCGAACGGCAGCGCGGGCUUCGGCCUGGCGGCGAGUGGCGAACGGGUGAGUAAUGCAUCGGAACGUGCCCAGUAGUGGGGGAUAGCCCGGCGAAUGCCGGAUUAAUACCGCAUACGACCUGAGGGUGAAAGCGGGGGACCGAAAGGCCUCGCGCUAUUGUAGCGGCCGAUGUCGGAUUAGCUAGUUGGUGGGGUAAAGGCUUACCAAGGCGACGAUCCGUAGCUGGUCUGAGAGGACGACCAGCCACACUGGGACUGAGACACGGCCCAGACUCCUACGGGAGGCAGCAGUGGGGAAUUUUGGACAAUGGGGGCAACCCUGAUCCAGCCAUGCCGCGUGCGGGAAGAAGGCCUUCGGGUUGUAAACCGCUUUUGUUCGGGAAGAAAUCCUCUGGGCUAAUACCCCGGGGGGAUGACGGUACCGGAAGAAUAAGCACCGGCUAACUACGUG
rnacentral:rRNA from 1 species